rnacentral:piRNA from 1 species
UUUUAGACGAGCAAGAGCGAC